GCCUCUAUUGAAAUAGAUACGCUGCGUACACCUGUUUACAUGACGAAAAUAAAGACAACACGUUUUGCUGAAGAGUAGCUGGUAGCGAAGUGUGUCUACAAGAUAGUGCAGUUUUAACAUAAUUUCAACAGAUGCGUGGUAUUGAAUGGACAGAGA